GGGGGUGUAGCUCAGUUGGUUAGAGCGCAUGCCUGUCACGCAUGAGGUCGCGAGUUCGAGACUCGUCACUCCCG
rfam:Cetobacterium ceti strain ATCC 700028 genome assembly, contig: EI52DRAFT_scaffold00004.4